rnacentral:rRNA from 1 species
CCUGGUAGUCCAUGCCGUAAACGUUGGGCACUAGGUGUGGGGCUCAUUCCACGAGUUCCGUGCCGCAGCAAACGCAUUAAGUGCCCCGCCUGGGGAGUACGGCCGCAAGGCUAAAACUCAAAGGAAUUGACGGGGGCCCGCACAAGCGGCGGAGCAUGCGGAUUAAUUCGAUGCAACGCGAAGAACCUUACCAAGGCUUGACAUGCACGGGAAGCCACCAGAGAUGGUGGUCUCUUUGGACACUCGUGCACAGGUGGUGCAUGGUUGUCGUCAGCUCGUGUCGUGAGAUGUUGGGUUAAGUCCCGCAACGAGCGCAACCCUCGUCCCAUGUUGCCAGCGGGUUAUGCCGGGGACUCAUGGGAGACUGCCGGGGUCAACUCGGAGGAAGGUGGGGAUGACGUCAAAUCAUCAUGCCCCUUAUGUCUUGGGCUUCACGCAUGCUACAAUGGCCGGUACAAAGGGCUGCGAUACCGUAAGGUGGAGCGAAUCCCAAAAAGCCGGUCUCAGUUCGGAUUGGGGUCUGCAACUCGACCCCAUGAAGUCGGAGUCGCUAGUAAUCGCAGAUCAGCAACGCUGCGGUGAAUACGUUCCCGGGCCUUGUACACACCGCCCGUCAAGUCACGAAAGUCGGUAACACCCGAAGCUCCAUGGC